UACAGGGGGGGGCAAGCGUUUGUUCGGAAUUACUGGGCGUAAAGGGCUCGUAGGCGGCCAACUAAGUCACACGUGAAAUCCCCAGGCUUAACCUGGGAACUGCGUGUGAUACUGGAUGGCUUGAAUUCGGGAGAGGGAUGCAGAAUUCCAGGUGUAGCGGUGAAAUGCGUAGAGUAUCAGGAGGAACACCGGUGGCGAAGGCGGGUCUCUGGGCCGAUACUGACGCUGAGGAGCGAAAGCGUGGGGAGCGAACAGG
rnacentral:rRNA from 1 species